GGUUAAGUGAAUAAGGGCGCACGGUGGAUGCCUUGGCACUAGGAGCCGAUGAAGGACGGGACUAACACCGAUAUGCUUUGGGGAGCUGUACGUAAGCUAUGAUCCAGAGAUUUCCGAAUGGGGGAACCCAGCAUCUUUAAUAGGAUGUUACGAUUGUGUGAAUACAUAGCACAUUCGAGGUAGACGCAGAGAACUGAAACAUCUAAGUACCUGCAGGAAGAGAAAGAAAAUUCGAUUCCCUGAGUAGCGGCGAGCGAAACGGGAAAAGCCCAAACCAGCAAGCUUGCUUGUUGGGGUUGUAGGACUCCGAUAUGGUAGUUCUUUCAGAUAGUUGAAUGACUUGGAAAAGUCAGUCAAAGAGGGUAAAAACCCCGUAGACGAAAUGUGGAAGACACCUAGGAGGAUCCUGAGUACGGCGGAACACGAGAAAUUCCGUCGGAAUCCGGGAGGACCAUCUCCCAAGGCUAAAUACUCCCUAGUGACCGAUAGUGAACCAGUACCGUGAGGGAAAGGUGAAAAGCACCCCGGAAGGGGAGUGAAAUAGAACCUGAAACCGUGUGCCUACAACAAGUCAAAGCCCGUUAAUGGGUGAUGGCGUGCCUUUUGUAGAAUGAACCGGCGAGUUACGAUUGCAUGCGAGGUUAAGUUGAAGAGACGGAGCCGCAGCGAAAGCGAGUCUGAAUAGGGCGUUUGAGUAUGUAGUCGUAGACCCGAAACCAUGUGAUCUACCCAUGUCCAGGUUGAAGGUGCGGUAAAACGCACUGGAGGACCGAACCCACGUACGUUGAAAAGUGCGGGGAUGAGGUGUGGGUAGCGGAGAAAUUCCAAACGAACUUGGAGAUAGCUGGUUCUCUCCGAAAUAGCUUUAGGGCUAGCCUCGGAAUUGAGAAUGAUGGAGGUAGAGCACUGUUUGGACUAGGGGCCCAUCUCGGGUUACCGAAUUCAGAUAAACUCCGAAUGCCAUUCAUUCAUAUCCGGGAGUCAGACUGUGAGUGAUAAGAUCCAUAGUCGAAAGGGAAACAGCCCAGACCACCAGCUAAGGUCCCAAAAUAUAUGUUAAGUGGAAAAGGAUGUGGGGUUGCACAGACAACUAGGAUGUUGGCUUAGAAGCAGCCACCAUUUAAAGAGUGCGUAAUAGCUCACUAGUCGAGUGACCCUGCGCCGAAAAUGUACCGGGGCUAAACAUAUUACCGAAGCUGUGGAGUACACCUUUAGGUGUAUUGGUAGGAGAGCGUUCUAAGGGCGUUGAAGGCAGAUCGUGAGGACUGCUGGAGCGCUUAGAAGUGAGAAUGCCGGUAUGAGUAGCGAAAGACAGGUGAGAAUCCUGUCCACCGAAUGACUAAGGUUUCCUGGGGAAGGCUCGUCCGCCCAGGGUUAGUCGGGACCUAAGCCGAGGCCGACAGGCGUAGGCGAUGGAUAACAGGUUGAUAUUCCUGUACCCGUUGUUUUUGUUUGAGCAAUGGAGGGACGCAGGAGGCUAAGGAAUGCAGACGAUCGGAAAUGUCUGUCCAAGCAGUAAGUCUGAAGAGGAGUCAAAUGCUUCUUUUCUUAAGGACAAGCUGUGAUGGGGAGGGAAAUAAUAGUACCGAAGUUCCUGAUGUCACACUGCCGAGAAAAGCUUCUAGUGAGAAAACAGCGGCCCGUACCGCAAACCGACACAGGUAGUCGAGGAGAGAAUCCUAAGGUGAGCGAGAGAACUCUCGUUAAGGAACUCGGCAAAAUGACCCCGUAACUUCGGGAGAAGGGGUGCUGAUCAUACGAUCAGCCGCAGUGAAUAGGCCCAAGCGACUGUUUAUCAAAAACACAGGUCUCUGCAAAAUCGUAAGAUGAAGUAUAGGGGCUGACGCCUGCCCGGUGCUGGAAGGUUAAGAGGAGUGCUUAGCGCAAGCGAAGGUACGAAUUGAAGCCCCAGUAAACGGCGGCCGUAACUAUAACGGUCCUAAGGUAGCGAAAUUCCUUGUCGGGUAAGUUCCGACCCGCACGAAAGGCGUAACGAUUUGGGCACUGUCUCAACGAGAGACUCGGUGAAAUUUUAGUACCUGUGAAGAUGCAGGUUACCCGCGACAGGACGGAAAGACCCCAU
rnacentral:rRNA from 1 species